AGGUAGAUAGGUUUGGAGUGGAAGUGUAGCGAUGCAUGGAGCGGACAAAUACUAAUCGAUCGAGGACUUAACCAAAA
rnacentral:rRNA from 1 species